rnacentral:rRNA from 1 species
CCUACGGGAGGCAGCAGUAAGGAAUAUUGCGCAAUGGGCGACAGCCUGACGCAGCGACGCCGCGUGGGGGAUGAAGGUCUUCGGAUUGUAAACCCCUUUCGGGAGGGAAGAUGGGGCGGGCAACCGCUCGGACGGUACCUCCAGAAGCAGCCACGGCCAACUUCGUGCCAGCAGCCGCGGUAAUACGAAGGUGGCAAGCGUUGUUCGGAUUCACUGGGCGUACAGGGUGUGUAGGCGGUUUGGUAAGCCUUUUGUGAAAGCUUCGGGCCUAACCCGGAAAGCGCAGAGGGGACUGCCAGGCUAGAGGACGGGAGAGGAGCGCGGAAUUCCCGGUGUAGCGGUGAAAUGCGUAGAGAUCGGGAGGAAGGCCGGUGGCGAAGGCGGCGCUCUGGAACGUAUCUGACGCUGAGACACGAAAGCGUGGGGAGCAAACAGGAUUA